rnacentral:rRNA from 1 species
UCAGGCAAUACGAGUCACGGCACACAGCUCAGUAACACGUGGCUAAUCUGCCCUUGGGACUAGAACAACCCCGGGAAACUGGGGCUAAAUCUAGAUAGGUGAAGAACUCUGGAAUGAGUCUUUGCCUAAAUAGGUUCACGUUAUCCUCGUGAACUUGCCCAAGGAUGAGGCCGCGACCGAUCAGGUUGUUGGCGAGGUAAUGGCUCACCAAGCCUUUUACCGGUGCGGGCCGUGGGAGCGGGAGCCCGGAGAUGGGUACUGAGACAAGGACCCAGGCCCUACGGGGCGCAGCAGUCGCGAAACCUUCGCAAUACACGAAAGUGUGACAGGGCUAUCCCGAGUGCCAUCCGCUGAGGAAGGCUUUUACCCAGUCUAGAACGCUGGGGGAAUAAGGAGAGGGCAAGUCUGGUGUCAGCCGCCGCGGUAAUACCAGCUCUCCGAGUGGUGUGGAUGUUUAUUGGGCCUAAAGCAUCCGUAGCUGGCUAGGUAAGUCCCUUGUUAAAUCCACCGAAUUAAUCGUUGGAUCGCGGGGGAUACUGCUUGGCUAGGGGACGAGAGAGGCAGACGGUAUUCUCGGGGUAGGGGUGAAAUCCUAUAAUCCCGGGAAGACCACCAGUGGCGAAGGCUGUCUGCUAGAACGCGCCCGACGGUGAGGGAUGAAAGCUGGGGGAGCGAACCGGAUUAGAUACCCGGGUAGUCCCAGCUGUAAACGAUGCAGACUAGGUGUUUGAACGGCCACGUGCCGUUCUAGUGCCGCAGGGAAGCUGUUAAGUCUGCCGCCUGGGGAGUACGAUCGCAAGAUUGAAACUUAA